GUAAACAGACCGGAAACGGCUGCUAAUACCGAAUACGAUCUUUCGUCGCAUGACGGAAAGAAGAAAGGAUGGCCUCUAUACAAAGCUAUCGCCGAAGGAGGGGGUUUGCGUCUGAUUAGCUGGUUGGAGGGGGUAACGGCCCAACAAGGCGAUGAUCAGUAGCCGGUCUGAGAGGAUGAACGGCCACAUUGGGACUGAGACACGGCCCAGACUCCUACGGGAGGCAGCAGC
rnacentral:rRNA from 1 species